rnacentral:rRNA from 1 species
AGAGUUUGAUCCUGGCUCAGAACGAACGCUGGCGGCGUGCUUAACACAUGCAAGUCGAACGAGAAAGCUUCCUUCGGGAAGUAAGUAGAGUGGCGCACGGGUGAGUAACGCGUAGGUAAUCUACCCUUAUAACUGGGAUAACAUUGGGAAACUGGUGCUAAUACCGGAUACACUUCUUUACUGCGGGGUAAAGGAGGAAAGGUGGCCUCUUCAUGAAAGCUACCGUAUAGGGAUGAGCCUGCGUACCAUUAGCUAGUAGGCGGGGUAACGGCCCACCUAGGCAACGAUGGUUAGCGGGUCUGAGAGGAUGAUCCGCCACACUGGAACUGGAACACGGACCAGACUCCUACGGGAGGCAGCAGUGAGGAAUAUUGCGCAAUGGGGGAAACCCUGACGCAGCGACGCCGCGUGAGUGAGGAAGGUUUUCGGAUCGUAAAGCUCUGUCAGAAGGGAAGGAGUGUUAUAUGUUUAAUACGCAUAUAAUUUGACGGUACCUUCAGAGGAAGCACCGGCUAACUCCGUGCCAGCAGCCGCGGUAAUACGGAGGGUGCAAGCGUUGUUCGGAAUUACUGGGCGUAAAGGGCGCGUAGGCGGCUGGAUAAGUCAGAUGUGAAAGUCCAUGGCUCAACUGUGGAAGUGCAUUUGAAACUGUCCGGCUUGAGUAUCGGAGGGGAGUGUGGAAUUCCCGGUGUAGAGGUGAAAUUCGUAGAGAUCGGGAGGAACACCGGUGGCGAAGGCGACACUCUGGACGAAUACUGACGCUGAGGCGCGAAAGCGUGGGGAGCAAACAGGAUUAGAUACCCUGGUAGUCCACGCCGUAAACGAUGUGAACUAGGGAUAGGGGGUGUUGAUCCCUCCUGUCCCGCAGCUAACGCAUUAAGUUCACCGCCUGGGGAGUACGGUCGCAAGAUUAAAACUCAAAGGAAUUGACGGGGGCCGCACAGCGGUGGAU